rnacentral:rRNA from 1 species
CAAACAUAAACCUUUUGUAAUUGCAAUCAGCGUCAGUAACAAAUUAAUAAUUACAACUUUCAACAACGGAUCUCUUGGUUCUGGCAUCGAUGAAGAACGCAGCGAAAUGCGAUAAGUAGUGUGAAUUGCAGAAUUCAGUGAAUCAUCGAAUCUUUGAACGCACAUUGCGCCCUUUGGUAUUCCAAAGGGCAUGCCUGUUCGAGCGUCAUUUGUACCCUCAAGCUUUGCUUGGUGUUGGGCGUCUUGUCUCUAGCUUUGCUGGAGACUCGCCUUAAAGUAAUUGGCAGCCGGCCUACUGGUUUCGGAGCGCAGCACAAGUCGCACUCUCUAUCAGCAAAGGUCUAGCAUCCAUUAAGCCUUUUUUUCAACUUUUGACCUCGGAUCAGGUAGGGAUACCCGCUGAACUUAAGCAUAUCAAUAGGCGGAGGAA